rnacentral:lncRNA from 1 species
AUGUCAGCAGUCCUCCCUGUUGUGAUAGAUUGCAUAGGAUGCUGCUUCCGGAUCCAAAGGAACAAUCGACAGACGUCACAAAGAUCCACCUCUGGCUGCAUCAGAAAAUUAUGCUCCUGGCGCCACCAGCGAGUGCACCCCGCUAAUGGGUCGGGGACAGAAGAAACCCCGGGCUCCCAUGAAAGGCUGCCCAGCACCGCAGGAGGAAUAGAGGCUCCAAGUGGCUGCACAAUGCCGGCCGAUGACGCAACUAAUAAUAAUGGCAUGGCUUUGGAGCGCCCCACUCCAGUGACAAACAAUCGGGGUGAAGAAGAAGAAGGUGGGUCUUCCUUGCGGGCAUUGGUUGGAGAGCAGCCAGAUCCUGGGUUCCUUUUGGAAAGGGGGUAGUCUGGGAUGUGGAGCAGGCAGCUCUUUCCCAGUCAUAGUGAUGCCCUGGUGGCACCUGCCCUGGACACAAGUCUCUUGUGUUGAUUCCUUGGGUUGUGACACAUUCCGAGGGACAGGGAGUGAGGUCCAUGUGUGAGCACAUGUGGUGUAAGUAUCUGUUUCCUCAUGAGCUCUCUCCUAUUUAUACAGAAAAUACACCGCUCAACGUUCCUUAAGAAACAUCCCAUCACCUCUGCGUACCACCCCUAUAGGCAUGCAUUCGCCCCUCACCACUGCUGUCCCCACGUUGGCUUAAUUUUCCCGUUGCUCAGGUGGAGAUGGUGCAGAGAGAGUUGGCCCAAGCUCUUGACCUCCUACAUGGGAAAGCCAAAGUGGGACCCAGGCUGGGUUCCCUAUGGGGACGCUCUGGACCCCUGACCUGCACCUCUCCCUCAGCCAGGACUUGGUCGUUCGUGGGAGCACGGAGCGGGGAGGGUCCCUGCUCCGUGUCUAUGCCCGGGAAUUCCAGGGUCUCCAGAGGGCCUGUCGAUGCUGUGCAUUUUAAAAGGUCCCUGUCAGUGCUGCGGUCAUUGCUUCAACAUGGCCAAAGCAGAUGGGAAUCGGCGAGGCGUAUGCUUGUAUUGGACAGUGUCACUGUUCUCACACUUGACCACCCUAGGUAGCACACACCCAGGCGACCUUGCAAGUAAGAGCUCACAGUUCACCCUCAUCCUUAGCCUGGUGUGCGGCACCAUUGUACAAACUCGCUGCCCAUCUGGGUGAGAAGGACUCCGUGCUCCCUCUGUGUUUCUCUCCAUGAAGUAAGUCCCUCUUUGUUGUAAGGCUCUUGGGAGGGCAGACAUCCUUUUUGCUCAAGGCCCAUGCACCAAAUGAAGCCUGCAGAAAAACUGUCAUGUGAUGGAUAGUGGUUGGAUUUCAGUAUUGUCAUGUGUUCUAUUUUUGGUUUUAAGAUCAACGUUUUGGGUUUAAGAUCCUUCAUUAGCAUACUUUUCCUAGAAUU